rnacentral:rRNA from 1 species
GAUGAACGCUGGCGGCGUGCCUAAUACAUGCAAGUCGAGCGAACGGACGAGAAGCUUGCUUCUCUGAUGUUAGCGGCGGACGGGUGAGUAACACGUGGAUAACCUACCUAUAAGACUGGGAUAACUUCGGGAAACCGGAGCUAAUACCGGAUGAUAUUUUGAACCGCAUGGUUCAAAAGUGAAAGACGGUCUUGCUGUCACUUAUAGAUGGAUCCGCGCUGCAUUGGCUAGUUGGUAAGGUAACGGCUUACCAAGGCAACGAUGCAUAGCCGACCUGAGAGGGUGAUCGGCCACACUGGAACUGAGACACGGUCCAGACUCCUACGGGAGGCAGCAGUAGGGAAUCUUCCGCAAUGGGCGAAAGCCUGACGGAGCAACGCCGCGUGAGUGAUGAAGGUCUUCGGAUCGUAAAACUCUGUUAUUAGGGAAGAACAUAUGUGUAAGUAACUGUGCACAUCUUGACGGUACCUAAUCAGAAAGCCACGGCUAACUACGUG